UAUUUUUUUUCCAGAACAAGGAAGUGACAUGCAAAAGGGAGAAGUGUCCAGUGGUCUCCAAGGACUGUGCUCUUGUCAUUAAGCAGAGAGGAGCUUGCUGUGAGCGUUGCAAAGAUUGCAGUUUUGGAGGAAAUACGUACAACAGCUCUAUGAAAUGGCACCUCCCGAGCAAUCCCUGUGUUACAUACCAGUGCCAGGAAGGAGUGAUAGUUGAGUCAGAAGUGCAGUGUGUCGUUCACUGCAAAAGCCCUACCAAACUCAGGGGAAUGUGUUGUCCUGUGUGUCCAGGUUGUGUAUUUGAAGGGAGACUUUACAAUGAAGGAGAAGAAUUUAGGCCUGAAGGAAAUAAAUGUACCAAGUGCUCUUGUAUUGUAAG